UACGUAGGCAGCGAGCGUUGUUCGGAGUUACUGGGCGUAAAGCGUGCGUAGGCGGUGGUCCAAGUCUGGUGUGAAAUCUCCCGGCUUAACUGGGAGGGUGCGCCGGAAACUGGGCCGCUGGAGUACGGGAGAGGCAAGCGGAAUUCCAGGUGUAGCGGUGAAAUGCGUAGAUAUCUGGAGGAACACCGGUGGCGAAGGCGGCAUCCUGGACCGGUAUUGACGCUGAGACGCGAAAGCGUGGGGAGCAAACAGGGAUUAAGAA
rnacentral:rRNA from 1 species